rnacentral:misc_RNA from 1 species
AUGGUUGUGCUCACGUCGGACGUUGUCUACAGCCGUUUACAGGAUGUGAAAAAUCCGACACAAGAAGCGAUAGAGACAAUGUCGAUGUGGAUUAUGCAUUAUAAAGACAAUGCUUCAAUAGAUUUGAUAGUUGAUGGAUGGCUAAAUUGCUUCAAAACUGCCGGAACAGAUAAUAAACGAAUUGCAUUAUUCUAUGUUAUGAAUGAUGUGGUCCAGAAAGCAAAAAUGAAGCACGCUGAUACACUUAUUCCAGCUUUUCAACCAGCAGUUCUCACCGCAGUUGGCAUCGGAAGAAAACAAGAUAAAGUAAAAGCAGUUAUGAAGAGAUGUAUUCAAAUCUUCAAAUCAAGAAACGUUUUCUCACCUGCGAGUACAACUGCAAUGGAGAAUUUGCUCGGUGAGUUGUUUAAUUGAACUAUUUUCACACAUUCCAUAGCAUCCGAUGCAGAUGAAGGAUACGAAGCUGAGGAUCAAGCACUUGAAGUCGAUUCAGAUGAUUUGGUGAAGAAAAUAACAAAUUUCAUUUCGGCUCGAAAUGUGGUUGCCGACAUGAUGAAGUGUGUGAAUGAAGGGAAUUUUGAUUACAAAGAGAUGUGCAAGCAUGGAAUGAGAGAUCGAGAAGAAGGUGGGCAUAUCCUGCACGAAGUUCAUGAAGCAAUUGAUACCAUGGUUCAAGUUCGCCAUUCCAUGGAAGAUCAGAAGAAGAAAAUGAUGGCUUUAUCAGAAACUUUGGAACUUGCCAAACGUGUUUUCCUUCAUCAAAAGCGAGAAGUUCUUGUUGUGGAAGAAGCUUAUGUCAAUUUUCGCGAUGGAAUCAAAGCUGUGCACACCGAAUUGCUCGAUAUGGAAGCGAAAAAAGUUUAUCCAGGACUAUUAUCUCCUAGAAAUGAGGACGAUCGCCAAACAUAUGGCAGAAGUAACAAUCGCUCAUUAUCACAACAAUGGGGAGACAAUCGUAAUCAGAUAGACAUGGAAAUGGAUGAAGAUGAACGCCCACAAGCUCCAAUGAUGAAGCCAUCAUUACAAGCUCUUGUUGGUAUUGCAUCUCAACCAUCACUACAAUCAAGAAUCAUGCAGCUGGGGCUCAAAAAAAUCGCCAAUGGAGAUGAGGAAAUGUUCCAACCAACAACGACAACCACAGCUGAUACUCCAUUGCCGUCAACGUUUCAACCACCACCAUCUAAACCUGCUGUCAUCAAUGCGAGUAAAUUUUCAAUGCCACCCCCAGCCAUUACAUCUGCACCUCUAUCCGAUCCUCGGAUUCGGUCAGAUGGCGAAGGUCCAUCCCAAUAUGCAAUCGCACUAAAACAACAUGGUCUUCCACCUCCAACAGGGCAACAACCUGUUCAGAAUAGAAUGAAUGCACCACCUCCAGCACAACCAUCUCCGUAUCAGGCGAUUCCUCAAAAACCAGUUGAACAAACCGUGUAUCAGGGACAGUUUGGUGGAGCACGAGAUCCAAGAUUAGCCAAUUCUGUUACUCCACAAUCUGUAGCAGUAGCACAGCAACCACCUAUCACAGGAUACCAAGCUCAGUACGAGCAAAUACGGGAUCCAAGAAUAUUGCAACAAGCUGCACCUCAGCAAGGAUAUCAAGCAACAUUUGAAGUUCAAAAGCCACAACUUGUGUCACCACAAAUACAAAAUAAUGGAUAUCAAGCUAGAUUCGAGCAAUCACAGCUCUCGCCGUCAAUUCCUCAACAUCAACCAGUGGGUCAAUACCAUCAACAGAAAAAUACAUACUGUCAGCCACCUCCACAACAUCAUCAAUAUCAACAGCAAUCUCAACAAUCACACGGAUAUUCUUCAGAUUAUCAUUCUGGAGACCGCAGAGACGAUCGUGGAAGAGAUAAUUAUCAAAACAGUCGGUAUGAUGAUCGUAGAGGAUCAAGUGCUCCGUACAAUAAUCAACGGGGUGACAGAUGGCGAGGUAGUGGCUCUCAUCAUAACGAUAGAAAUCGUAAUAGUGGACGAGACAGCUGGAGAGGCGGAAAUCAUCGUUCUGGUGGUGGUUAUCAUAGAUACUAG